rnacentral:tRNA from 1 species
GACAACUUGGCCGAGUGGUUAAGGCGACAGACUUGAAUUUACCACAAUUCGCUAUCUGUUGGGUUCGCCCUCACAAGUUCGAAUCUUGUAGUUGUCG